rnacentral:rRNA from 1 species
CCUACGGGAGGCAGCAGUGAGGAAUAUUGGUCAAUGGACGAGAGUCUGAACCAGCCAAGUAGCGUGAAGGAUGACUGCCCUAUGGGUUGUAACCUUCUUUUAUAAAGGAAUAAAACGAGGCACGUGUUCCUUUUUGCAUGUACUUUAUGAAUAAGGAUCGGCUAACUCCGUGCCAGCAGCCGCGGUAAUACGGAGGAUCCGAGCGUUAUCCGGAUUUAUUGGGUUUAAAGGGAGCGUAGAUGGGUUGUUAAGUCAGUUGUGAAAGUUUGCGGCUCAACCGUAAAAUUGCAAUUGAUACUGGCAGUCUUGAGUACAGUUGAGGUAGGCGGAAUUCGUGGUGUAGCGGUGAAAUGCUUAGAUAUCACGAAGAACCCCGAUUGCGAAGGCAGCUUACUAAACUGUGACUGACAUUGAUGCGCGAAAGUGUGGGUAUCAAACAGGAUUAGAUACCCUUGUAGUC